UACGUAGGGUGCAAGCGUUGUCCGGAAUUAUUGGGCGUAAAGAGCUUGUAGGCGGUUUGUCGCGUCUGCUGUGAAAUUUCGGGGCUCAACCCCGAACUUGCAGUGGGUACGGGCAGACUAGAGUGUGGUAGGGGAGACUGGAAUUCCUGGUGUAGCGGUGAAAUGCGCAGAUAUCAGGAGGAACACCGAUGGCGAAGGCAGGUCUCUGGGCCAUAACUGACGCUGAGAAGCGAAAGCAAGGGGAGCGAACAGG
rnacentral:rRNA from 1 species